GGUUUGUCUGAAGGUAGCGAGUUAUCUCAAUUGAUUCUUCACAGUUACAGAUUGAACUCCUUGUUCUACUCUUUCCCCCUUCUCACUACUGCACUUGACUAGUCUUUA
rnacentral:Y_RNA from 1 species